rnacentral:rRNA from 1 species
UAAUACGUAGGGUGCGAGCGUUAAUCGGAAUUACUGGGCGUAAAGCGUGCGCAGGCGGUUCGUCAAGUCUGAUGUGAAAGCCCCGGGCUCAACCUGGGAACGGCAUUGGAAACUGGCGGGCUGGAGUGUGGCAGAGGGGGGUGGAAUUCCGCGUGUAGCAGUGAAAUGCGUAGAGAUGCGGAGGAACACCGAUGGCGAAGGCAGCCCCCUGGGCUGACACUGACGCUCAGGCACGAAAGCGUGGGGAGCAAACAGG